GCUGCUGUCAGUGGUGAUGGAUGGAUGUGUGUGCUGUAGAGUUGUGGCAUCUUAAUUGUUUACAUAACAUGCUAUUUUCUCUCUCAAAAGACUCUGUCUGGGAAGGAUGAAGGUGUGCAUAUUUUAUACUCCUCUUUUGCAUGCAUUUUAAAGGCAUUGAUAAAAGGAGUCCUGGAACUAGUACAGUCUGCUAUCUUCUGUCGGCCCUUGUUUCUUGGGCCCUGAGUGACAGCUCUUCAGAAGUGAUAAUUGGUGUACUGUAUCUUUAAAAGGUUAAAACCUCUUUCAAAAAAAAAAAAAAAGGCCUGGACUCAUAGUGGAAAAGACAAGCGGGGCUUUGGUUGGCUCUGGAUUCAGAAAACAGCUGCUGAUUAGAUUCUGCGUCUGCAGGCUGAAUUCAUUCCGUGUUUUUCAGCAGCAGGAAUUCGAGAGGGAUGCUUCUGUUUGGGUUUCUGAUCGUGAUUUAUAUUUAUUCAGAGGAAUAACAGAGGAUGGAUUUGUUCCCGGCCGGAGCAUGCUCACAACCAACAGGCUCUCCCAUGAUCCAACUGCCCAGUUUGGUGCUUUAAUGUACAUAUCUGUUCACCGUUCAUGUGUGUGGAGUUAGACAGAUAUGCCUAUGGGCAUCCAGUUGUGUGUGUGUGUGUGUAUGUGUAUAUGUGUGUGUGAGGGGGUGGGUGGGUGUAGGUGCACGCGCAUAGAGGAUUAUUAUUUUUUUUAAAAGCAGAUUCCUUAAAUGAGAUUUUUUUUUUACCCCUCACUUGAAACAGGUGUUAAUGAAAAAAUGCACACAAUCCUGACAGAUGGGACUGGUUCAUGAAGGAGGGGACGGCCAGCUCAGUGUUUCAGAGACCACAGGACCAGCUUCCCAUCCAGAGCAAAGUCUGGUAUCCUGGAUGUGGUCCUGCUGGCUACUGGCCAAACACAGGACAAGAUGUCCUGACACCCUCCUGAAGAAUAACAAGAAAGGAGUUUUUGAGAACAGAGACAUGGAAGUCAUGCCAAAGAGAGAGGAGCCAGAGCUCACUCAGGGGAGAAGCCAGAGCCAGAGCUGGAGGUGA
rnacentral:lncRNA from 1 species